rnacentral:lncRNA from 1 species
UGAGCUUGGUGUCUCCGCUUGAAAUCGCGCAGAAACUCCAACCCACCCCUAGUGAAAUGUCGAACAUUUCCUUUUUGCCUGGAGACUCGUACUUGCUGUUUUUAAUAUUAUCUUAUUAUUAUUAUUGUGGACCGUGGUGGUUAUCUGCCAGACUAUGUCAGCUUUUUGGGAGAUUUAUACUCGAUGAAUUUUGGUCAGAUAUAUAUAUUACCUCCUGGCUUGCUUUGGUGCUUUGUUUGACCUUUUAAUAUGCACAUUUCAUUUGUUUGCUUGGGGUAUCCAACUUAGCUGAACAGCAGUGAGAAGCACUUAAAAGUGUUUGAACCCACCCCUGGAAUUUUGCAGUUAAUGCAAUGGGAAAAUCAUUAUACUGAAUAUUGUUGGCCCCAACUAUGUGCUCGGCUGGGCCAUGAGCUGUUGCAGCAUGGCUCAUGUUGCGAAACCUUUGCAAAGGCUCAUGUUGCAAUGCUCAGCUAGAACACCCUCUCGCACAGCAUAGCUGGUCGUGCAGCCCGCUACUUUGAUGGAUGCUGCUCAGUGUUGGCCUCCCAAAACAUGGGGUUAUGACAUUGGCAGUGGUGGCUUGCAGUGCAGUGCUCGUCUCCAAUUGACCGUGCUGCUCGGAGGAGGUUCCAACACCGGUGGUGUUGUGGCGCGUAUUACAGUUAUUUUGAAGUUAUUCUAAUCUCGUACAUACACAAAUUUACAAUUAUUCAUCUACUACUGGAAUUUGGAUUUAUUUUAUUGAUGCAAAUUGGAUUUGGAUAGAAGGGUACAUUCUUUCUAAUACUAGUAAGCGUGCACUUGCAACGCACAUAUCGUUAAGAAGUUAUUGUUCGAUCUAUCUAACAUCUCCUAAACGGGUAAAAGCAUCUACAAUUUGACUAGGAAAAUAUGACCCACCCCCGUAUGUCAGGUGACACAUCCGAACGUCACAUGCAUACUAUUGGUUGGGAUGGAGAGAGAGAAUAAAGAAAGAAAAAAUUGGUCUAAGAUGAGCCGCGUCCAAUGUAGUAGCCUCAUUUGUUCCCCAUAUAUGAAAUGAUUUUGAGGGCCAGCCAGCCUUUUUCUACUCUCCUGGGUCCUGGCAAGGGGCACAAAGUGCAGGAGGGGCUGGGCCUUAGAUGCUCUAAGUGCGACGGUUUGCUCCCCGCAUCCUCCGACACCACCCCGGAAUAAUACGCCCUCGUCUCUUCCGACCUUGCUCACGCUCCAGUGAACCGAAAAGUUAUAAACAACAUGCCAUUCCUGGAAUAUGUUAUCUUUCGAUGGAAGCAACAAUCUAUUGAUCAUCAUUAAAAGAGUGUAUGAUGUUAGUUACAAACAGCUAACUAACAAGAUCAGGGUAUUCACCCAAAUUCUUACCAACACAGUUAGUUCAUGCACAAAUUUAUUGCUCUCUUUCCCUCACACACAACUUCAUUUAAAAUAAAAUGAGGUAACCAAGUCUUCAGAUGGUUAAUCUCUUUGUAGACGUUCCCGAUGUGCCAUAUUCAGAACGUCUUGGCCUAUAUGAAUUACCUUUUACCAACAACUUCAAAACCACAAUUAUCUAAUUUGAAACCACAAUUCCCAUGUUUAGGCCCUGUUUGUUUGGGCUUUUACUUUUGCUUUUGCAACUUUUCCACUUUGGCAAAAAAAAAAACUCCUAAAUAGGUAGGUGCUUUUUGCUUCGCCUUUUGGCUUAUACCACCAUAUAACGAUAUUGAUUCAUAAGCACAAAACCGAAGCAAAUAGCCCCUAUUUAGGAGCUUUCAUGGCUUUUUUUUUUGCCAAAGUAGAAAAGCUGCAAAAGCAGAAGCAAAGGCCCAAACAAACAGGGCCUUAGUCUUUUCAAGCAGUAUAAUGAUACUUGCUGCCAAGUGAAACAUACAAAUAGCUAAGAAAUAUCAAGAUGUCCCACGAGAUUACUAAUAAUAGAGAGUUUGUUUGCAUAUAGAUCACUGGAUUUCUGCUAACAAAUAAUGGCUGAAACUUUACUUUAAAAUGCAAUGCUUGAAUGUAGCAAAAACUCGUUUCCUUCUUUUCCGAGAACAUACAAGAGAACUGUGUGUAUAAAUAUAUUAAGAAGAGAAUAGUACAUCAACAUAAUGAAGGCCGACAAUAGCAACGACGCCACUAAGUUUAAACAACUGUGAAACAAAAGGAAGACAAGACCUGAAACUACACAUUGUUUUCUCUUCAGCAAAAUAUUUUCUAUGGAAAAAUCGAGCUAUAACUUAUAGGUAGCACAACAUAACUUUCCAUAUAUUUCAAGUUUGGUCAGACCACAACAAGAGAGCAAUCAGUCUGAGACUGAUACUUGGGUAGAGGCACUCCAGGAGUGCCAUAAACUAACUUCAAUAUGCUCCUUCUCUCUUACCAACACAAGGUUUAAGCUCAACUCACCCCAAAGAGAAAAGUGAACUAUAAACUUUAGGCUAAAAUAUACAUGCAAAUGUUAAUCAUAUAAACUGGAAUUAUGUGCACUGUGAGCAGAAAACUUCAUAUGGAGGCUGGCCUUAUGUUUCUAUAGAGAAGAGACACGUAAAAAAAAGAUACAUCAGCAUGCAUCACGUUUUUGUUGACAAAAAAUUCAGAUGAACAAAGUCGAACACUGAUAUUACUAUCAUUUUUAAACUUUCACCAUUAGUUAUGCAAAUCAAGUGUGUGUCUGUUAUUUUCCACCAAGAGCAUUACAAGCAUCACAAAUUCGACAAGCAUGGGCUGAAGUGUUAUAACUGGAAGUAAAAAAUAAUAAUGGUUCUAACUGUAUAUGAUUAAUUAGAGUAAACAGAAACGCUAACAGAAACAACGAUUGACCUUGAUUAAUUAGAGUAAACAGAAACGCUAACAGAAGAAGCAGGUGUACUGGAACAUGAAGACCAUGAUUCUAACUGUCUGAUCCAACUGAUCCAGCACUAUGCGCUCCAUCUCGAUGUAGGACAUAUUUGUUCUCCUUGGUGGUCAACUUCAAAUACGCCCAUGAUGCUGUACACGUAGAUGUUCCCUGCAUCCCUCUUCUCAGCUCUCAGAACCUGCCAACAGUCGCCUAGAAAAUAAAAAACAUAAAAAGUUAAUUAUUUAUGUAUAUUAGCAAUUUGGGAUGGAUUUGCGUUGUCCAUCCUGUAAUAUUUUGUAGUAUCCAAAUACUUUGCCUGCUCUUUGGUGAAGCACAGAGCCACUACAUUAAAUAGUUUAUGUGUUGUUAUUUCAGAGAAUGUAUUAUAUAAUGCAACUGUUAGGUUGAUCUCUCUCCCGUUCGAACCCAACGGGUCGAACGGGCCCCUGACUCGCGCCCUGAUCGGGGGCACCCAACCAAACCAUGGUUGGUGGGCCCCUGUAACCCGCGCUAUAUAAACAGAGGUGGGGGCCGGGGCACGACUUACGAGGUUAAUCGCUGCCACAAUCCCCACCUACAAUCCCUACCGAUCUAGGGUUAGCGCGGUGCUCACGGGAAGCUCCACCACCGCCGCCGUCCACUCUCUGUCCACAUCGUCACCGGCCCCUACUUCACCAUGGCCGGCACUGGAUCGAGCUCGUCUGGACAGGUAGAAGGUAGGUUCACCGGAAUGAUCUAACCUAUCCGAUCCAAAGCAAUCUAUCAAUGGUAUCAGGCCAUGCUAGGCUAUGAUUUUCGGUGCAAAGUAUAAACAAAGAAAGAAAAAGGAUCCCUUCCCCAAGAACCCUAAACAGGGCAAAGAAAAAUCCCUCAACGGACAAAGAAGCGCCGCCGCAAGCCGCGCCUGUUCCUCUCGAUCCGGACGCGCAUCGGCACGCCGGGGCGUCGGACGAAGAACUACCGGAGCCAGCUCAACGGCGUGCCGGCAACGAAAAGAAAAAGACAAAAAAAGGGGGGUAGGCACCGCAGCCAAACCGCUCGACGGCGGCGCGCUCACCGCAAGGCGGACGCGCAGCCGGCGAAGGGGAUGGCCACGACGCUGCAUCGAAACCCGCAGCAUCUCUCUCUCUCUCUCUCUCUCUCUGUUGCUGCAUGCAGUAGUAGAGCAGAGGAGUAGAAGGGAGGAAAGGGGGGGAGGGAGAAGAGCUGGCCAGGGAACGGCGGAGCUCAACCCCGUCUCCGGCUGCCGGCGACCGGCGUCAAACGCAACGGCGCAGUCGGGAGCGAGAGAAGGGGAGCAGAGGUGGCCGCGAGCGUCCCCCCUCUCUCUCUCUCUCAAAGGAGAGGCCGGGGGGAAGAGAUGCGGCCAGGCUCGCGCGGUGGUGGGCGCCAUCGCCAGCGGCUCGACCGGACCGGCGCGGCGCGGUCGCCCGACGACCGGGACAACGACGGAUCGAGAGAGGCUGAGCGGCGCGCGAGGAGAAAGGGGGGCGAACGGACUGGGUUUCGUUCCGAUCGCUGCGGUGGGUCGGUUUUGUUCGAGCGAGAAGGACGCUGCGCCGUCCGAUCGAGCUGAACGGCCCUGAUUGAAAACCUAACCCCGCUCCGGGCCUUCUGGGCCGAAAGUGGAGGCCUCGGCGGCCGGGCCGCGCUGGACCGAGGCCGGCUGUGCGGCUGAGCCGCGUCCUAUACCGAGGCGCUCGGGCGGCCGAGCGGUGCUCGCCCAGCAGGCUAGUGGGCCGCGGGCCGCGCAGUUAAGGCUGCGAGCGGCGCGUGCGUUUGCAGGCCGUGGGACGGGCUGUGCUAGCAAAGAGGCCCGACAGCGUUCCUUUUAUUCAUUUUCCAACGAAAUUUUUUGUUUAGUAAAUAGCAAAGUAAACAGAAAAAGUUUCUGAGAAUGAAAAUUUUCAGAAAAGGAAAUGUUCAUGAAUUUUAUAAAGAAAAUAAUAAAGUUCAUGAAUUUUCUAUUUUGUCAAAGAAAAGUUUCUGUAAAGAAUUAAAAGUUCAUGAAUUUUUAUUCAUGUUUUUCCGCUGCGUAAAUAAUUAAUAGUGCUCUUUUACAAAGAAAAUAGAAGUUUAGACAGAAUUAAAUUUUUAAGAGCCUGCUAAAGUGAUGAAUAUGAUUAUGUUAUUUUUUAUGACCAACGUUGUUAAUAACAUGAUCAUGUUUUAUUAUUGAAAAUAAAAGUGCUCUUUUAAAAGUGAAAAGAACUAAAGUAAAAGAUUAAAUUGUUGCUUCUCUAAUGCUUUUUUGAACCAAUUGGUUAAAAUUGCUUAGAGAGUAAAAGAGUACAGAAUUGUUUUUGAAUAGAAUAUUGUAAAGUUUCCGUUGCAAAGUAAAAGUUUUAUCCUCCAAUUAAAUUGGAACCAACGGGAAAAUUUAAUUGGAAGAAAUGUUCUUAGCAAUGUUUUUUCCCCUGUGGGUGAAAUAAGAUGCAGAUAGUUUCCGCUAUGACAAAAAGAAGAUAUUUGUUUUAAAGGUAAAACAUGGUAUUGUUAUUUUCUGACCAACGUUGAUGAUAACAGUGCUAUAAUUCAAUGAGUCUUAUGUUCAAAGUUUAAAUAUUUGAUAAAUUUUGUAUCAAAGUGAUCAAUUUUUAGAGAACGGAUAAAGAUCAAGAAAUGAUCUUGAACUAGAGAAAUGUAUAUUUCUUGUUCCCGCUGCAAUAAAGUAGAUUCUUAGCAAAGUUGUUUAAUACAAAUACUAUCAUCACAUUGUUUAUGAGUUAUAUGCAUUAUUUCCAUUUCCGCCCAACGGUGAUAUGGAAUUAAUGUAGAAGGAUGAUCUUUAUUCUAAUUCUGCCACAACGGUGAUUUAGAAUAUAGAAUAAAGUUUCAAAAGUUUAAUGUGCAUUUUUUUAACCAGACCAACGUAGGGUUAUUUUUAUGCCCAUUAUUGUUGAUUAUUGUCUAAGUUUUCUUAGACUAAAAGUUUUCCAUGCUUUCAUUCGUGAAAGCGAAUGGCUGCGUACUUGUGACCCGAAAGAUGACCAAGAAAGGUCAUAACGUGAGGGAGUAUGUUCUCUCUAAAGAAUGGCAUCAAAAGAAAAGAAAUAGAUCAUUGAGAGUCUUGGUUGAUGAAUGUCUUUCAUGUACUCUCUAUGAAGAAGAUUUUUCAGUCAACAUGAUUUGAGAUGAAACAAGCAACAUGCGUGUUUAAUUUGACCAACGUCGGAUCAAGCAUGUGUGUCAAAGAGCAUUCGGAUUUAUUCCUAAAUUUGAUGAUUGAAUAUGCAGGCAAAAGAGCCAAUUCUGGCAUUUAUGUUCCCUUACAGGGAAUUACCCGCAUGGAGGGAAAAGAUGAUUAUGAUAAAACCUGCAUGGCGGGAAAUGUUUGGGAAAAUACCUGCGUAACGGGGUAAAGCUGACAUAAUAUUAUGUAAAAAAUCCCGUACGGCGGGAGAAAUUCUGGCAAGAGAAAGAUAUGAUAACUCAUGUGCUUUUAAUGUAUCCCACUCUGGGAGAAACGAAUGGAGUAACUGAAAGGCGCAACUGUACACUUAUGGAUAUGGUGCGCAACAUGAUGAGUUCUUCCAACUUGCCAUUGGGAUUAUAGAUGGAGGCGCUUAAAACCGCCAUUCGCAUUCUCAAUAGAGUACCAAGCAAGUCGGUGCCCAAAACACCGUACGAGCUAUGGACAGGAAGGGUGCCCUCCCUACAACACUUCAGGGUGUGGGGAUGCCCUGCUGAGGCCAAAAUGUUUAAUCCAAACAUUGCAAAGUUAGAUCCCAAAACAGUGAGUUGCCACUUCAUUGGCUAUCCAGACAGAUCAAAGGUUUUCGUUUCUACUGCCCAGACAGAUAUACAAAGUUUGUAGAAACGAGACAUGCAGUCUUCUUAGAAGACGAAAUGAUGAGGGGGGGCUUGGUAGCUCGGAAAAUUGAUCUUGAGGAGAAGAGGGUGCAUGCACCUAAUCCGAUGAUUCAGGAGCCAUUUUUCUCACUACCAGUUGCAACUCCACCCAUGACAGCUAUGGGGGAAGACCCGGAACCAGUCCGUCAGGAGCCGACUGAACCCGAUGUUGACCAUGAAAGGGAGGUGCAACAGCAAAUUUUAGAAGAAGUGCCAGAAGUUGAGGCACAAAAUGUGCCAGAAACUGAGGCCCUUAGAAGGUCUACAAGAUCAAGAAAGUCAGCUAUUUCUACUGACUUUAAAGUUUAUAAUACAGAAAUGGUUCAUAUGGAAAAAGAUCCCACCUCAUAUGAAGAAGCCAUGAGAAGCCCUCAUUCAUCGAAGUGGAUGAAGGCAAUGGAAGACGAGAUGAAAUCGAUGAGUUCCAAAGAUGUUUGGGACUUAGAGGAAAUUCCCAAAGGAGCCAAAACAGUAGGCUGUAAAUGGGUCUAUAAAAUUAAGUAUGACUCUAAAGGGAAUAUAGAAAAGUAUAAAGCACGACUCAUGGCAAAAGGAUUUACACAAAGAGAAGGGAUAUAUUACAAUGAGACAUUUUCUCCAGUCUCAUGUAAGGAUUCCUUCAGAAUCAUAAUGGCAUUAGUUGCUCAUUUUGAUUUAGAGUUACAUCAAAUGGAUGUUAAGACGGCAUUUAUGAAUGGUGAUUUAAAAGAAAAGGUCUACAUGAAACAACCAAAGGGUUUUAUCAUGGAAGACAAUGAAAAUAUGGGAUGUCGCCUGAAGAAAUCCAUUUAUGGAUUAAGAAAAGCCUCUCGGCAGUGGUAUCUAAAGUUUAAUCAAACGAUUAAAAGUUUUGGAUUUAAAGAAAAUAUUGAGGAUAAUUGCAUUUAUGCAAAGUUUAAAAAUGGGAAAUAUAUUUUCCUAAUCUUGUAUGUGGAUGAUAUCCUGCUUGCUAGUAGUGAUGUUAGUCUACUACAAGAAACAAAGAAAUACUUAUCCUCAAAUUUUGACAUAACAGAUGUUGGUGAAGCAUCAUAUGUUUUGGGCAUAGAAAUUCACCGAGAUAGGAACAAUGGAGUCUUAGGACUAUUUCAGAAAGCAUAUUUAGAAAAGGUUCUUAAAAAGUAUAAUAUGCAUGCGAGUAAAGCCACACCUGCUCCAAUAGUCAAGGGCGAUAGUUUUGGGAAAUUCCAAUGUCCCAAGAACCAGUAUGAGAUCGAUCAAAUGAAAGCAGUACCAUAUGCUUCGGCAGUUGGCAGCUUACAGUAUGCACAAGUGUGCAUUCGCCCUGACUUAGCUCUUAUCACCGGGGUACUCGGUAGAUAUCAAGAGAAUCUAGGCCUAGAGCACUGGAAGAUGGUAAAGAAAGCAUUGCGUUAUGCGCAAGGCACGAAGGACUACAUGCUAAUAUACAGGAGAAGUGAUUCCCUAGAGAUAAAAAUGUAUUCAGACGCAGAUUUUGCGGGGGACAUAUUCACCCUCGCUGGGGGAGCUAUUUCGUGGAAAAACUCCAAACAGUCGAUAGUUGCAUCAUCCACGAUGUAUGCAGAAUUCAUAGCAUGCUUCGAAGCCACGGGGCAGGCGAUAUGGCUAAAGAAAUUUGUACCCGACUUGAAAGUGGUAGAUUGCAUUCACAAACCACUAAAGAUGUACUGUGAUAACCAGCCCGCAGUAUUCUAUGCUCACAACAACAAGUCAAGUAAUGCUGCCAAAACAAUAGAGAUAAGGUAUUAUGUUGUGAAAGAUGAAAUCCAGGAUCAAACUAUAAGUCUCGAGCAUAUAAGGACAAAGGAUAUGCUUGCGGAUCCGCUAACAAAAGGCUUACCACCCAAUGUGUUCAAGGAACACUUAGCCGGCAUGGGUUUAAGGGAAAGCCUUAUGAUUCCUGGAUAGGCCCAAAAGGAACAGAAUUUGUUUCUAAACAUAAAGUAUGUUGUAGCUGUAUGAUUCUAACGGCAAUUAAGCCGUGACGAUGAAACAUGCUCUAUGUACCAAUAUGUGAUGAAACAGAUAAACUAGAAAGUAUAAAGUUAAAAGUAAAGUUGAGAUCAAGGGGGAGAAUGUUAGGUUGAUCUCUCUCCCGUUCGAACCCAACGGGUCGAACGGGCCCUGACUCGCGCCCUGAUUGGGGGCGCCCAACCAAACCAUGGUUGGUGGGCCCCUGUGACCUGCGCUAUAUAAACAGAGGUGGGGGCCGGGGCACGACUUACGAGAUUAAUCGCUGCCACAAUCCCCACCUACAAUCCCUACCGAUCUAGGGUUAGCGCGGUACUCACGGGAAGGUCCACCACCGCCACCGUCCACUCUCUGUCCACAUCGUCACCAGCCCCUACUUCACCAUGGCCGGCACUGGAUCGAGCUCGUCUGGACAGGCAGAAGGUAGGUUCACCGGAAUGAUCUAACCUAUCCGAUCCAAAGCAAUCUAUCACAUUGUAAUAUGAAAAACACUGAGAUCACGGCUUGUGGUUACUAUACUUAGGCCAAAAAAAGUGACUUGUAUAGAAGGAUACUCUCCAACUAUUGCCAUACAAAAAGGUGAAAGUGGGAAAUAUUACUUCACAUCAUCCGUGUAUGCAGGCAAUCAUCAGACAUCAUACGGUUGCAAACUGUCAUGAACUCUUCUCUAAAAAAUAUGAAGGCACCUGCCAAAGAGCCAUGCACCAUGCAAAAAUCAGUAAAUUCAAGAGUAGCACUGCCCAUAACAAAAGCAGAUACAGAUUAGUAAUCAAACUCUCAGGCUGGUUCAGUAUAUACAUAGACCAAACCUGGAUGAUGCAGUGGCAUUUGGUGAGUGGUGACACAGAGGCUGUUGGCAACUCUGAGAUGGAGGGGAUCAGGGAGCAAUUACUCGCAGUCGUCGUCGCCUAUCGGCAUGACCAUCCACGGUCAAUCUUUGAGCAUACGCUCAUCCGUAUCCAGACGUACGUGAGCAACUCCUGGACUCGUGGAAAGAAAUAGCAGCGUAGGUCGCCACCGAGGCGGGCGGAGGAGCAGUCAGAUUGCUGCACGGCGAGGUCGGCGAAGGAAGCGCGGCCGGCGAGGAUCUGGUCGCGAAGCACGGCCAGGUCGGCGAAGGAUGCGCGGCCGGCGAGGAUCUGCUCGCGGCGCACGGCGGCAUCGGCGCGCGUGGUGGCGGAGGUGACCCGGGACUCCUUGUGUGACGCCCGCACCGUCGCCUCCCCCGCCGCCGCCCAUCUCUUCCUUCCACCGAUUGGCUCCGUUCACUCGAGCCAGCAGAGGAGCAGCGGCAGGCGGUGGGGUGGCAAUGGCGAUUUUUUGGGAGAGACUGGAUCGGGAGCCAGGCUCCUGGCGAUCCCGCGGACGGAUGACACGCUGCGAUGGCAGGGUCCUGGGGGUUCCGUCGCGUCGCCUCCCUGCUCUUGCGAUCACGCAGACGGAUGCCACGCAGCUCGCGAUGGCGAUCGUGCGAGGUCGUGCUGUUGGUGAGCGGCGUCAAGGUUAAAGGCGAGGGGAGCUGAUUUCGUUUUAGUUUCCUCAGUUUGAGAUGAGAACCGCGUGAUUGUAGGGGACGGACGCGGGGCUAGUAGUUAUGUAUUUCUCUUCUCGUGGAUGGAUGGUGGAGGUGGAAUACGGCCAGUCAUUGGAAUUUGCUAAAUCCACACAAUAGAUCUACAGAAACACUAACGUCCACACAUGUGGGUGUUUGCAUCUCGCCUGCACGCGUGCAUCCGCGUCCGUUUAUGGGUGCAUGAAUCUUGGCAUGUUUGUGGUGCCACAUAGGACUGAGCUGGUGUGUGGGCAUUCAUUCGGUCGCCCACACGUCUGUUUCACCACACGGAGGGCCGGUGUGUGGGCGUUUAGCAGUUCGCCCACACACCAGUUUUCACUCACGCACAAGGGCUGGUGUGUGGGCAUUUUGCCAUCUUGCCCACACGCUCGUCUCCUCGCCCACACCCAAACUGCCAGUUGCCAUGCGUUUUGCAGUGUACAUGGCAACUGCCCUAGUGUGCUUGCAAGCAGAUGACAACUCUCUCUUUUUUUUUACCCGAACAUGUCAGUUGCCAUAUGUUUUGCAGGCCACACGUCAACUGCCUCUAGUAUGCUUGUAAGCAGAUGACAACUCACUUUUUACGCGAACAUGUUGUUUUGCCAUGUCUCUUUGUAGCGCUACAUGGCAACUGCUUAGUGUUAGUAGGUGGCAACCUCUAAAGUUUUCAAAUCAUGGCAACUAUAGUAAACCAGACCAUACAUGGCAAUAACUGCAGUUGCCCAAAAUGGCAUCUGGCACUUGACCUGAGAUGGCAACUGUAGUUGAGCAACCAUGGCAACUGUAGUUGUCCGACAUGGCAACUGUAGUUCAGCGACAUGGCAACUGCAGGUAAACGGACAUUGAAGAGGGUCCGGACCAUGGCAACUGCGGGGACGCGUGGUGACUGUCACGCUGGACGUGCGGGACCAUGAGGUAGGUGGCUGAGAGAGGUCGUGUGGGCGUUAUGCAUUUUGCCCACACGUAGGCGUGUGAGAGGGACCGCAAGGAAAAAAGGCGUGUGGGCGCUAGUUGUUUUGCCCACACGUAGGCGUGUGGGCUGGUCCUCUUAACGCCCACUCGUGUGGCAGUUAUCGUCAUCCUAAAUCUAUCUGACAAAUGAUGACUGUUAGAUUGAGACACGUGGGACUAAUUGUGUGGUGAUGAUUGGUUCAUGCGUUUUGUGAAACUAAUUGUUGGGUGCACGUAAAAAAGAUCUUGUUUGAUUGUUUAAUAAUAGUUGAAGUGAUGAAGAUUUUAGAUAGAAGAAAAAUAUCUCUUCUAUCUAAAAUAUUAAGGAAAUGUGGCGUGCCUGCAUGCUGCAAUCGUGAUUUUAUCAGCAAAACUACUUUACGGGCGACAGAUCCUGGCUGAACUUUGACCGAUGGAGAAUUUAACGGCGUUCAGAAAAUUAGUGUGCGUAGGAUUGCCGAAUUUUCAAUGGGAUCAGCCGCGAAGGCUCACAUGCACGUACAAAAAAUCAGAUUUUUUCGACGAGAUUUUCUGAAUAUUUCCGCCUUGUUUUCAUAAAGACCAAAUUAACAUGUACAGACUGUAGAGGUGCGCUGUUUUCCCCUAUGAAAAUGUGCACAUGUAAAAAAAUCCAGAGUUUUUUGACGAGAUUUUCUAAAUAGGAAUAGCAUUUCCGCAUAGACCAAAUUCACAUUUUGACUGUAGAGGCGCGCUGUUCUGUGACCGGCCGCUACCCGAGCCGAGAGCAGUUCAUCAUGGCCUCGGCGCCACUCUCUUUCCAUUGCCCCCUCGACCUCGAGCAGACACCUCUAGCGCGCAUUUCCGCGCCGCUCCUAACCGCACCAGAAUCCACCACCCGACCACAUCGCGCCACUCAUGGGCGUGCGCGCCUGCCCGCGUCCCGGCUACGCUCGCGCCUGUCCAGCGCGUUCGUGCCCUCGACGUGUUCGAGGAAAUGCCCCACCGGAGAAUCUUCGCCGGGUCUACGCUGGGUCCACGCGCGGGUGGUGGCCCUAGCAAGCACAGCCAUCAGCGUCGGCGAUCUCCAUCCCAGCGUCCCGUCGAGUGGUGGAGGAUCGAUGUCGUGGGCUCAUCGUGUUCAUGGCUCUCCCCUGGCGCUGGUGGCUCACCCUCGCUGGUCCGCAGCACGCAGGUAAGAAAAGUCUCUGGGUUUUUUGUACCAUACAUGUUGCUUCCUUGGCCAGAUUACCCAUUCCUGCAGGCCAAGCGGAUGUGCUGUUUGGUCAUCUGCUCUGUUAACUGAACAUACUAUGGUUUUGCUAUGGUUCCUACUGCCUUCAGAAUUUUGGAGACGUACCCUACACAGGAUAGCCGUUUGGGAAUCUCUAGGCGCGCCGCAUUCAAGGAAUCGGACCGUGCAGUUGUUGCCGUGGCUCCGGCUUAGAUAGCUGCGCGUGCUCUAUGUACCAAAAUUUUGUUGACAGGCACAAGCUUGUGUAGAAACCAUCAAGAUUAAGCAUCUCAUUAAUUUGUCGAUGGGUGCAACCGUGCAAGGUUGUGGAAACAAUGGAAGCAUCCCAUUAGAUUGUCGCCAGGUACGAUGUUGAGCAUACUUAUCAGGAACCAUCAACGUCAAAGCAUCUACCGAGGAUUCAAUUUAAGCCUAGAGAUAGCAGGACACAUUGUGAUGUUUUGUCCCCUACUGCUUGUAUCAUUUGUUCAGUAUGCAUAUGCGUCCACAGAUUCCUGUCUGCUACAGGACCACUGCUUAUCCUUUAUUCUCUUCUCUAGGCUCAGCUUCCACGAAAAUAUUUUGUGGUGGUCAUGUAAAAUCAUAAGCUCGUCUUUUCCAUAUGGCUGACAGCUAUGUCAUGUUUAUCAGUAAAGAGGAGUCUAUUUCAGUCAUACAAUACUGUGGAGCCAAGACUUGAAUCAAGGACUUCCAUAGUUCCACGGCCGUGCGGACCCCGCGUCGAGCUUGCCAUGAGGGGCAUGUGUUUCAGUUGAAGGGAUCCUAGUGUUACCUGGUAAAGUUAGCUGCGUUUUGGUGCACUGUUCGACUCUUCUCAUUCGCUGAAUUGCUGCCUGCCUUUUGGUUCACUAUAGCUCUCUCCCCUGAGUCCAUCUGUUUGGUUUCUCCACUGUGCAAGGCCUGUUUUUUCUCCUGCUGUUACUGGGCCGCCUUAGGUGUGCCAGGAGAGAUGUCGGGGUUGCUUGGCACGGUUGUUGAUGCAGCAAUUGGAUGGCUGGUGCAAAGCAUCCUUGACAGCUUCUUUACUGGACGUAUGGAAGCCUGGACUCGUAAAAUCGGGCUUGCUGAAGAUGUGGAGAAGCUCAAAUUUCAGAUGAGGGACGUGCAGAUGGUUCUUGCUGCUGCCGAGGGAAGGAGGAUUGACAAUAUGCCUCUGGCCCUGUCACUGGAUGAUCUCAGAGGGCUGCUUUAUGACUCAGAGGAUGUGAUGGAUGAGCUCGACUACUACCGACUCCAGCAACAGAUCACUGAAGGUGAUUCAUUCGUCUCUCUUGUUCCACGUUUGUUGCUUUCAGCUUAUUUUAUAUUGGUGUGACUGUGAGCGCUGCUUGGAGUAUAGUUUAAUAUGCAACCAUGAACAGCUCAAUAUCAUAGGCAUGAUCCCUCAGAUUAUCUCUUGCUUAACUGUGAUUUUUUAUUCAGUGAUACAACUUUUUGUUAUUUUUCCUAGGCGAAAGGUAGAGCUGUCUUUACCUCAUGGAACUUUUGUUAAUUUUCAGCAGUUAUAUGAUAAUAAUAUUUGCCUUUGCUUAAGUGCUUUUCAUUUGCUUGGCUCAUAGCUGAGUUUUUUCUUAUGCAGGGAAAGUUUGUAGUGCUCCCAGUGGUGCUAAUCCUGAGGGAAGCUAUGUGUUCUUAUCCACUCUAUCUUCUGUUGUUAAAUUAGUAUGCAGCGCCCCAAGCCAUAUAACUGGUUGGAUCUUACGCGGCAGAAAAAGGAAACGUGAAGAGGAGGGGCCAGCUCACUGUAACAUGCUGCCUUUUGAGAUUAAAGAUAGCAUUUCUAAGAGGAUCAAUGUAAUAGUGAUUCUUCUAUGCAGUAACCGCAAUUCUGUGCAGGGGGCUCUUCAGCUUGAGAACUUGCGCCCCAUGGCAACAUCAAGUAAGAGUCUCAAUAUUUCCAGGGGUCAUCGCAUGACAACUUCUGUUCCGAUUGAAUCUGAGGUGUACGGAAGAGAUGCAGAGAGAGACAAAAUAAUAGAGCUGCUGAGGAAUGGAAAAUCUAGUGAUCUGAAUGUUUUGCCAUUAGUUGGCGCCAUUGGUGGUGUUGGGAAGACAACACUUGCCAGAUUUGUAUACCGUGAUCAAAGAAUUAUAGAUCAUUUUGAUCUGCGAAUGUGGGUUUGUGUGUCCACUGACUUCAAUGAAGAGAGGCUAACACGUGAGAUCCUAGAGCAUGUAUGUGAAGAUAGACAAGAGUAUGAAAAUAAAAGCAAUCCUGAUGUACUGCAGAACAUCCUUUUGAAGAAGGUCAGAAACAAAAGAUUUCUGCUUGUACUGGACGAUAUAUGGGAAGACAGAGACAGGAGUGGGUGGAUUAAUUUCCUGGCUCCGUUGAAAAGGAAUCAAGCAACCGGUUGCAUGAUUUUAGCAACAACAAGAAGGAAAUCAGUUGCAAAAAUGAUAGGAACAAUGGUUGAGGUCGAAGUGAAUGGUCUCGAUGAUAAUGUGUUCUGGCUUCUCUUCAGAGCAUGUGCAUUUGGUGAUGAGAACUACGAGGGCCGUCCUAGUUUGCAAUCUAUUGGGAAAGAGAUUGCUAAAGCACUAAAAGGCUGUCCACUGGCUGCACGAAGUGUUGGUGCACUUCUAAACGCAGAUGUUAGCUAUCAGCAUUGGAUGACAGUUCGGGACAAAUGGAAAUCUCUUGAAGAUGCUGAUGAUAUUUUACCCAUCUUGAAGCUCAGUUAUGAUUAUCUUCCAGUCCACCUUCAGCGCUGUUUCUCUUACUGCUCUUUGUUCCCAGAGGACUACCCAUUUGAUGGGGAAGAUUUGGUCCAUGCUUGGAUAUCACAAAAUUUUGUGCAGUACGAAGGCCGUACCAUAAGAUUGGAGAAAACAGGGCAGAGCUAUUUGGAAAGAUUAGUGGACUUGGGCUUCUUCCACAAGGAUGGCUCACACUAUGUUAUGCAUGACCUAAUGCAUGUAUUGGCCAGGAAAGUUUCAUCAAGUGAGUGUGCUACUAUAGAUGGAUUGAAACCUCAGGCCAUUCAACCAAGCGUUCGCCAUUUGUCAGUCAUAAUUACUGAUUUUGGUAAAGAUGAACAAGGCAGUUUUCCUAGUGAGAAGUUUGACCAAAUACUACAGGAAGUUAGGUCGUCUUUGCAAAAAUUGAGAACCUUGAUGGUGUUUGGGCGAAGGACCAUACAUUUGUUAGGUUCAUUACAUACUUUAUGCAAGGAGGCAAAAUGUUUACGGUUACUAAGAAUUCGUGUGCCAGGUGGCGACAUCAAUUAUAUAAACAGUUUAUUGAAUCCAUGCCAUCUUCGCUAUAUAAUGGCAUAUGGAGUCUACCAAAAACCUGCGUUUUGUCAAGUUCUGACAAGGUGCUAUCACCUUCAAGUAUUGAAUGUGGGCAUUUUUACAGGCGAUCGUGAUGUACCUACUGAUAUGAAUAAUCUUGUUAAUCUGCGCCAUCUUAUUGCUCAUGAGAAAGUGCACCACGCAAUAGUUCGUGUCAGCAAAAUGACCUCUCUUCAGGAAUUAAAAUUCAAGGUUCAAAAUGUUGGUAGUUUUGGGAUAGGACAACUUCAGUCCAUGAAUGAGCUUGUAUUACUUGGAAUUUCUCAACUUGAAAAUGUGAAGACUAAAAAAGAGGUGAGGGGGGCCAAGCUGAUAGACAAAGAGUAUCUAGAAACAUUGUCCUUGUCAUGGGAGGAUAGCAGCAUGAGCUUCCAACCUGAGGCUGCCAAGGAUGUGCUUGAAGGUCUUCAACCACAUCAGAACCUCAAAACUCUAGAAAUAACUGGAUAUGGUGGUGCUACAUCCCCAACCUGGUUCUCCAUUGUUUCCUCAGUUACCUCCUUGCAGGUACUUCAUCUAGAGGGGUGCAGGGAAUGGCAAAUUCUAUCAAUUCGUGAAAUGCAUUCCCUUAGGAAGCUGACAUUGAUCAGGAUGUUGAAUUUAAUGGAAAUCUCAGUUCCUUCCUUGGAAGAGUUGAUCUUGAUCGGCAUGCCAAAAUUGAAAAAAUGUACCGGUUCUUAUGGAAUAGAAUUGACUUACCAUUUAAGGGUUUUGAUGAUCAAGAACUGCCGUGAGCUGAAUGAGCUCACUCUUUUCCAGAGUUACUCUUCUUUCGACGCUGAGCAGAAAUCAUGGUUUCCAUCUCUCAGGAAACUCUCCAUUGGGCAGUGUCCCCAUAUAUUAAAGUAAUUUUCUUCUCUCUAAAUUUUCCUUUUCAAUACAUUUGCAAAUUGUUGGGCACUUACUUUGAUAAAUGAUGUUGCAGCAACUGGCCAAUCCUCCCACUAAGUGAAAUGAGGGCGCUCAGUGAGUUGGAGUUGAUGGACCUACAUGUUGUCGGAGUUUCAGUUCCUUCUCUGGAGAAGUUGGUGUUGACUAAAAUGCCAAACCUGGAAUUUUGCAGCAGUCUAACGACCCAAGGAGAUCAAAUGGGAUGGUCAUCCAAUCUGCGUAGACUUACCAUCCAUGAUUGCCCUUGUUUGAUAGUGUCACAUCCUUUUCCGCCUUCUGCUUCGAUUUCCGAGAUGUCCAUCAGGGGAGUUCCGGGACUUGCAAAAAUGAGUAUAGACCAUAGAUGGUUAACUAUCGAAUCUACUGAGUUGAGUGUGCUAGAUGACAGUAUCCUGGCAUUCAGUAACCUUGGGGGCAUAAGAUUGUUUCGAAUAAGAAGCUGUCCAAAUCUGAUCUCUCUUUCAAGUGAAUCUUUCAGCCAGCUCAUCGCUUUAGAAACUUUAUGUAUACACGACUGCCCUAAUCUUACUAUGUCAAACAUUAUGCCAGAGGUUGUCCAGGAAAACAGCACAUCUACAAGCAGCCUUGUCCCCCCAUCUCUCAAAUCUGUCAACAUUAGCACAUGUGGCGUAACUGGGAGGUGGCUAUCUCAACUGCUUUCACAUUCGCAGUCCCUUGAGGAGUUGCUGUUAACUGGCUGUCCGCAGAUAAAGUUUCUAUCAGUCAUUCAACCUAGAGAAACGGAAGGGACCAGCAGUUUGGCUUCAGCAGUGAUGACCUCGGCCCAAGAUGAACAUGAAUUGAAACUGCCAUAUAAUCUCCUAUGUUCUCUCAAGGUGCUAUGGAUUCAGCAAAGCCUGGAUCUGAAGUUCUUUGGGGGUAAUAGACACUCUACAAGAUUCACCUCUCUUACGCAGCUUUUCCUUCAUGGUUGCCCCAAGCUACUCUCAAUUUUGGUGGGUGAAACAAAAGAUGAUGGUACCAUGGAGGUUGGAUUACUCCCACCAUCACUUGAAGACCUUAGUAUCGGUCCUCUCCCAGAAAACUUGCAGUCAUUCACUCCUGAAGGCCUUUUGUACCUCAAAAAGUUACGUCUAUCUUAUGGCCCAUGUUUGAAGUCUGUACAGCUGCAUUCCUGUACGGCCUUAGAGGAGCUGGAUAUCAUGGGGUGUGUCCAGCUGACUGUACUGGAGGGCUUGCAGUUUCUCAGCUCCCUUCGAAGCUUGAAGAUGGAGAUGAAUUCCGAGCUGUCUUGUGCAUGGGAUCUCAAACUGCAGGAACAAGAGCAGGGUGGGAAUCAAAUUCAGCUAUUUCCUCGGUCACUUGAUAAACUUGAGAUCACGGCUGUCACGGACUGGGUCCAAUCCCGUCUUCUGUCCUGCCUUCCUGCCAUGACCAAAUUAGCAGUACAGAGAAGUCCGGAACUGACGUCUCUACAGUUGGCAUGCUGCACGGCACUGAAAGUGUUGGAAAUUGGAGACUGCGACUUGCUUGCGUCGAUCGAGGGCCUCCAGUUCUGUAGAAACCUGACAUCCUUGAAAGUAUUUAACUCCCCCGGCCUAUCUUCCUGUUUUCAACUUUUGUCCGACCAGCAAGGUGUCUGUGAAGUAUGGUCUGGAUUGAAAACUCUUGUGGCUAGUGACGCAUCUAUCCUGUCCAGGCCGUUCUGCAAACAGCUGACUUCCCUAAGACGUCUACAGUUUGGCUCUGCGUAUAGUGCAAGCUUGGUGAACCUAACAGACGAACAAGAGAGAGCAUUACAGCUUCUAACCUCACUCCAAGAACUUCAAUUCCUGAGAUGCCCGAAUCUCUUAUCACUUCCUGCAAGCCUAUAUAGCCUGACCUCCCUCGGAACAUUAUCUAUCGUACAUUGUAGGAGCAUCACAAGGUUGCCAGACAUGGGCUUUGCACCUUCGCUCAGUAACCUUGAGGUAGCCUAUUGCAGUGAGGAGCUAGGUAUGGAGUGCAGAAUUGCAGCAACUGAAAAGCUAAGAGUCACAAUUGAUUAUGUGGAUGUGAAUUAAUUCAACAGUAUCUACUUCUGAGGUACACAUUCGGAACAUUUUUCCUACAGAGUUAGUCUACAUGCUCACCCUCUUCUUGCUAAAUGUAAUUCAUCUCUAUCCAGGCUGCAGCCACCCGAGAUGUUGUACACAUUUCUGCACUCACUGUCACCAGCACAUUUUGUGCAAGUGCCAUUCACCCCUUUGGCUUUCCACAAGCUACUUUAGUCGCAUGUGGGAUGGAUGCAGAAACCAUGGUUGCAAUAGGCUAGUCUUUUUGUUUAUCAGGGGCAUUGUGACCAGUUGCUCAUCGCCAUGAGCUUACGCUAUAGCAAGCCUUACCAUGGUAUGCUUCUUUGUACUUCUAUGUUUAUCCUGAUUAGCUUUGUUAGUGGAUCAGUGCUGUAGACAUGCAAAACUUGGCAUAUUAAUCCUUCUUGGUUACUUUUUGAUUAACAGAUGUACACAUUUGAGUAUGUUUUUCUGCUACCUAAUUACGCAUCCCAUCUUGUCCAAUACUGUUAAUCACCCUUCUGAUCAGCACAUGUCGAUGCUGUUAGCUAGGCUCUUCUGCAUGGUUUGAUACAAAAAAUGUUGUUAACUAGAAACAUCAUUGUGCACUCUCAGACAAUUUAUUAUUGUAUAAUUUCUUCUGUUAAGCAUUAAAUUGGCUCGUACUUCCUAUUUGUAGUUGACUUUCAGCAUGAGGCAUGAUUUAAAAUUGUAGGAGAAACAUAAAGUUUAUUAGUUACCACCAUCUGUCUCAUGAUGCAAUUUCGCUGUGAAAAAAGGAUGAUACUUAGCAAUAGGUUUGUUGCUGAAGUGUUGUUAUUUUGCUCUAGGUUUGCUGUUCAGCAAUAUUACAUCACGGCAUUGGAAUCUGCGGUCAACCAGGACUACCUGUUGAGUGAUGAGUACACAUUAACUUGACGAUUCCAUGGCUCAACCAUUGCAGGUACAUUCUGUUUAUUGUUUGAUUGUCGUCAGGCCUUCAUCGCUAGGCACCUUGUCUGAUUCAUCUGUUGCACCUUAUCUGACAUUCAUGUAUAUUUGCCUGCUUUUAUAUGGUGGGCAUUUGUUUCAGAUUUUGGCCAAGUAAUAUCAUAGUAUCCAAAGAAAGUGAAGUCCAGAAAAGAAGUUUGCUAAUGAAAAAAAACUAUGCCACUGUAGCCAACUGUAUAAAUUUUAUGUUAUGAAUAUGAAAUCACUCCAGGGCUCCUGUUAGCAUCUUCAUCAUCCUAUAAGCAGAAUGAAUUAGGAGCUUGUUUGAUAGCUAUUCACCUUUGCUAGUCUGGAGCCUGCAACAUGCAUAUCUAUUCUAGGUAGGCCUGAAUUUACUGAUGAAUAACUUUGAUGGUGUCAGGUGUGUAUUGGCAGUUGGGCCAUGCCCAUGAAAAACUGAAGAAGGUACAGCAAACCAGUCGGUGACGACCUCCUACGAGACUGGAGGCCGAAGUCAGCCGAGGGGGGCAGCAGCAGAAGCAACUCGUACGGAAUAUAGGACUUCUAUAUAUAAACCUGCCGGGAACUAAACAAGUCAUAACACCAGCACACCGUUUCGUUUCGCUUCCUCCAUCGUCUGCUCAUCUCAUGACCUCCUCUACCGCCUUCUCGCUUCCCAGAAGCGCAGUGGGAGACACUCAACCCGUGUUAUCGACCAAGGUCGGGUCGUUACUGAAUUUGAAGUUGCUGGAGAUGUUCUCGCCGAGCUCGGCGAAGAGGGUCUUCUCGCCGCUCAUGUAGUUUGAGGCACCCCUGUUGAGAUACCAGGCCUCGUAGAAACCAUUAGCUAAGAUGAUAGGAAAAGAAGCCACCCUGUUUGUAUUCUAUAAGGAGGCAACAAAUAUUUCCAAAGCUGAAGUGCUACCAUUUGUGGAACAGAGGGAGACCACACCCGGAUUAAAGAUGGAAAGUAGAAAUACAGUAGAAUGACGACACCACUCAGUAAGAGUUGAAUUUGUACUUUGCUAUGCGACCUUCUGUGCCGAGAUUCCAUUAUCUGCAUUGCAUCUGAUUGGGCACUAGAGGGUAUGGCUUGCAAGUGUAGGUGAUCUGCUCCAAUAACUGUGCCUUGUAGAGACAAAACUUCUAUAUAUGUUUUUUGGUUUAUUAUCUCCAUGCACACUUGAUCAUCGACAGAGCUUAGUCUAACGACCGAAUCUUCGAAAAGAUUGUUGUUUGCAGAACAUGAUAAGAUCAAGGCAAGGACAUCAUUUUUUGGGGGCGAAAUAGUACAAGGGCAUCAACCUAACUAGUACUCACAUUAUCUUGGAUAAUUCAUCCUGGAGCCCGGGCUCAUCUGCACCUGAUAAGCAAAAAAUUAAAAAAAAAUACUAGAAAAAUUCAAAAAAAUCCAAAAUUUUUUCGGGUGGUAGAUAAGUUGAUGCGUGAGGUCCGCUCCAAAAUUAAACCCAUUUGGACAUCUGAGUAGGCCUCGGCAAAAAAGACAAAUCGGGUCAAAACAGUUUGUGAACAGUAAACUUUUUCACAGACCCCGAUUUUGUCUUUUUUGCACAGACUUGCUCAAAUGUCCAAACGAGUUGCAUUUUGCAGCGAACCUCACGCACCUAAUUAUCUACCACCCGAUUCUUUUUUGGAAUUUUUUGAAUUUUUUUUCUAUUUUUUUUCGAUUUUUUCAUUUGGCCCGGGCUCAUCUGAGCCCGGGAGCCAAAUCGCCGCACUCCAUUAUCUUACCCUUCAUUGUAUCUAAUAAUGCGUCGUUGAUACUAUAAAACUCACAUGAUAGACCGUCACCCGAGACAGUUCAACAAAACCGUUAGCAAUUACAUGAUGUGAGACAACACACUCAUGGUUUUUUCUUCUUGAAAGCCUCCUGUAGUAAUUAAGUUACCUAAGAUCAUUUUUGUAAUUUAAACUGACAAGGUUUUAUGCUCUCAAUCGAGAAUCUCCACCACUUCCUAGGGCCGUAAGCCUACUUUUCCCCUCAGAGCAUCUCUAGCAGAUACGGUAAAGCCGUGUCCUGCAAAAUAUGUUUACGAGUGGCCUGUAAUUUUUUUUAUGGUACCGUGAGGCCUCUGAUUGCGGGACGAGUUUACGGGAUCUGUUCCGCGCUCGAGGCCUCGCGGUACCGCAAUUCUUUCACAACAUUCUAAAUUCUAGAUUUUCAACGAUAUGAACCGAAUAGAAUCAUAACAUAAAUUAAACAUAUGAAUAUAAAUGGUUCGAAAGGUAAUUCACAAUACAACAAUGAUCUUCAUUACAACAAAUCUUCAAAUUCAAAUACUUUCUCCGUUUUAUUUACUCCGCGUAUUAGCUUUGGUCACAGUCAAGCUUUAUAAACUUUGACAAAGUUUAUAUACAAAAAUAUUAACAUAUACAAUAACAAAUAAAUACCAUUAGAUUCAUUAUUGGAUGUACUUCCACAUCAUAUAGAUUUGUUAUGAUAAAUAUUUAUAUUCUUUUCUAUAAACUUGGUCAAACUUUAGAAAAUUUGACUUCAGUCAACUCUAAUAUGCGGAGUAAAUAAAAACGGAGGGAAUAAUUAUUACAACACCAAAUUGUUCAAAUCACACACAAAUACAUAUGUAUAAAAAUGGGAAUCUAUCUCCCAUAGAGUUGCCGGUGAUGCUCAAUAAGAUCAUCCCGGAGUUGGUAGUGUGAAGCACUGCUCUCGAUCUUCCGGUAGGUGUCAAGAAAUGCAGUGAUCUCAUCUGCCUCCCUAGUAGGCUUCACAUGGCUACCAACAUUGUCAUAAUAAAACUCCCAGUCCAAAUCCCUCACAUCCUCGAUGAUCAUGUUGUGUAAAGUUACACAAGCAGUCAUGAUGUUUCUAAGGCAUUUCUUAUCUCAGAAGUGAGCGGGACCUCAAACAAUGGCAAAUCGAGCUUGCAACACACCAAAUGCCCUCUCAAUAUCCUUUCAGCAAACUUUUUGUGCACCGCUCACUUCUGGGAUAAGAAAUCACUCAGAAGCAAGAUCGGACCCAUUACAAAGCACCCCUACCAUUGCAAGACCUCAAGCAAUGGAAAACUCAAUCAAUAUGAAUAAACCCCAUUGUUUUAUCCUUAAUGGCAACAAUACAAAUAUGUGUCAUGUCCUCUUCUGUCACUGGGAUUGAGCACCGCAAGAUUGAACCCAUCACAAAGCACCUCUCCCAUUGCAAGACAAAUCAAUCUAGUUGGCCAAACCAAAUCAAUAGAUCAGAGAGAAAUACAAAAAUAUAAUAAUCAUGCAUAUAAGAAUUCAGAAAAGACUUAAAUAAUAUUAAUGAAAAAUCUAAUCAUAAACCCACAAUUCACCGGAUCCCAACAAACACACUGCAAAAGAAGAUUACAUCAAAUAGAACUCCAAGAACAUUGUAUUGAAGAUCAAAGAGAGAGAAAAAGUCAUCUACUCCCUCCGUUCCGAAAUAGAUGACUAAACUUUGUACUAACUUUAGUACAAAGUUGGGUCAUCUAUUUUGGAACGAAGGGAGUAACUAUUAGCUAUGGACCUGUAUGUCUGUGAUAAACUACUCACGCAUCAUCGGAAGGGUAACAAGGAGCCCUCUGUGGUCGAUUCCCCCUCCGGCAGUAUCAGAGAAGGCCUCCAGAUGGGAUCUCGAAGGAACAGAAACUUGCGGCAGCGGAAAAAAUGUUUCGGGUGGCUCUCCGAUGUAUCUGGAAUAUGUGGGAAUUUAUAGAGUUGGAAUUAGGCCAGGAGGUGCCAUGAGGGGCCCACAAGCCUACGGGGCGCCCCCCUGGGGCGCGCCUGGUAGGCUUGUCGCUGCCUCGUGGCACUUUAGGUCUUCUCCGGAAGCUUCUAGGGUCCCUUAUGGUCCAGAAAAAAAUCAUCAAAAAGUUUCGCAGCGUUUGGACUCCGCUUGAUACUGACAUUCUGAAAAGCCAAAAACAAGCAAAAAAUAGCAACUGACACUGGGCACUAGGUUAAUAGGUUAUUCCCAAAAAUGAUAUAUAAUUGCAUAAUAAACAUCCAAGAUUGAUACUAUAAUAGAAUGGAACAAUAAAAAAUUACAGAUACGUUGGAGACGUAUCAAGCUCGAAGGUACUCCAGGCCAAAAAACCGGAUCAUUGUCUUCGCAAAGACCUGGGCGCAUUUGAUGGUGGUACCUUCUCCAAUGCGAAGAUAUUCAUCGGCAUAGUUGGCGGGAACCCCUUAUGCAACCACUCUCAUCGCCGCUGAUAUUUUUUGAUAUGCACUAAACCCAAGCAAACCGGCGAAAUUCCUACGUCGAGUGAAAAACGACAAAUUUGCUCGCAAGCUUCAAUGAUGCGAACGAAAAGAGGCCUACACAUUCGGUAUCGCCUAUGGAAUAGGUGAGCCGGAUAUGUCCACAAGAUGCAACAACACUAGGCUGUUGAAUCUAGGAUAAUCUUUUCUAUGUCCGAAUCAUCCGACGACGGCGAACUCCAAUCCAUCUAAAAAAAUGCACGCCCGUGAAUUUCUCCCGGAUCUCAUUGGUCGAAAUUGAAUCAAAAUAGUUGGCGGGCAUUGAACAUACCUUCCCUCGAGGCAAAGUCGCCCGCCCCUUUCUUCUCCCCUAUCGGCCAAAGCAAAGCCGGCCGCCUCUUUCUUCUUCCCCUCCGGCCGAAGCAAAGCCGGCCGAAACCCCUUCCUCCGGCGCGUGCUGCUACCCCUCGAGCGAUUCCGUGGCUCACCGGCACCGGAAACAACUGGAAUCUGUCGGCUACAAGACCGCGCGCCAAGCUCCAGGGCGGAUCCAUGGCGCCGGCGGCGGCCACUAGCCCGCGGAAACAAAUGGGCACACUCGGCCUCCAAAUCUGGUGGAAUAGAUGCGACGCGGCGGAGCUAAUGGACGACGCGGGGCAGCUGGGGGCACCAGGAACUGGCGGGGAUAUGCGGCGGUGGCGAGUGAGGCAAAAAUGGCCUUCGUGCAAGGAUACAGGAAACUACAAAAAGAGGGGCGACUCUCGUAGAUAUGACGGAAAUGGCCCAUACUUUGCAUGAUCCCGAAAAAAAUACGGGAUGGCCGAUUCUGUGGGAUCUAUCUGGGGCCGAGAAAACGGCCUCAUCCGCUAAAUCAAUGGUUAUUAUUCUGGUUGGCCCAUUUUACGGGAUCUGCUAAAGAUGUUGUUAGAUGUCCUCAUCGUCGUCCAUCAUUGGUGCAUCACCGAAAAAAAAACUCCAGCCCAUGUUCAGUCACGACAGCCUCGGCCCUCGGCGCCGCUGCCUUCUCGUCCCCGGAGUCAGACUCCCUUCGCGCGCUUCCCCGCCUUUCCACCCGCCCGCCAUCGCGCCACUCAUGCCGCAAGCGGCGUGCUGAAGAGCGCGCGCCUCACCGCAUCCUGCCCACGCUGGCGCCGCGCGCCCGUUCGGUGCGUCUGCGCCCUUGAUGUGUUCGGGCCUGGUAGGCUUGUCGCUGCCUCGUGGCACUUCAGGUCUUCUCCCGAAGCUUGUAGGGUCCCUUAUGGUCCAGAAAAAAAUCAUCAAAAAGUUUCGCAGCGUUUGGACUCCGCUUGAUACUGAUAUUCUGAAAAGCCAAAAACAAGCAAAAAAAUAGCAACUGACACUGGGCACUAGGUUAAUAGGUUAGUCCCAAAAAUGAUAUAUAAUUGCAUAAUAAACAUCCAAGAUUGAUACUAUAAUACAAUGGAACAAUAAAAAAUUACAAAUACGUUGGAGACGUAUCAAGCUCGAAGGUACUCCGGGCCAAAAAACCGGAUCAUUGUCUUCGCAAAGACCUGGGCGCAUUUGAUGGUGGUACCUUCUCCAAUGCGAAGAUAUUCAUCGGCAUAGUUGGCGGGAACCCCUUAUGCAACCACUCUCAUCGCCGCUUAUAUUUUUUGAUAUGCACUAAACCCAAGCAAACCGGCGAAAUUCCUACAUCGAGUGAAAAACGACAAAUUUGCUCGCAAGCUUCAAUGAUGCGAACGAAAAGAGGCCUACACAUUCGGUAUCGCCUACGGAAUAGGUGAGCCGGAUAUGUCCACAAGAUGCAACAACACUAGGCUGUUGAAUCUAGGAUAAUCUUUUCUAUGUCCGAAUCAUCCGACGACGACGAACUCCAAUCCAUCUAAAAAAAUGCACGCCCGUGAAUUUCUCCCGGAUCUCAUUGGUCGAAAUUGAAUCAAAAUAGUUGGCGGGCAUUGAACAUACCUUCCCUCGAGGCAAAGUCGCCCGCCCCUUUCUUCUCCCCUAUCGGCCAAAACAAAGCCGGCCGCCUCUUUCUUCUUCCCCUCCGGCCGAAGCAAAGCCGGCCGAAACCCCUUCCUCCGGCGCGUGCUGCUACCCCUCGAGCGAUUCCGUGGCUCACCGGCACCGGAAACAACUGGAAUCUGUCGGCUACAAGACCGCGCGCCAAGCUCCAGGGCGGAUCCAUGGCGCCGGCGGCGGCCACUAGCCCGCGGAAACAAAUGGGCACACUCGGCCUCCAAAUCUGGUGGAAUAGAUGCGACGCGGCGGAGCUAAUGGACGAUGCGGGGCAGCUGGGGGCACCAGGAACUGGCGGGGAUAUGCGGCGGUGGCGAGUGAGGCGAAAAUGGCCUUCGUGCAAGGAUACUGGAAACUACAAAAAGAGGGGCGACUCUCGUAGAUAUGACGGAAAUGGCCCAUACUUUGCAUGAUCCCGAAAAAAAUACGGGAUGGCCGAUUCUGUAGGAUCUAUCUGGGGCCGAGAAAACGGCCUCAUCCGCUAAAUCAAUGGUUAUUAUUCUGGUUGGCCCAUUUUACGGGAUCUGCUAAAGAUGCUGUUAGAUGUCCUCAUCGUCGUCCAUCAUUGGUGCAUCACCGAAAAAAAAAA